rnacentral:rRNA from 1 species
UAGAGUUUGAUCCUGGCUCAGGAUGAACGCUGGCGGUAUGCUUAACACAUGCAAGUCGAACGGUCUCUUCGGAGAUAGUGGCGGACGGGUGAGUAACGCGUGAGAAUCUGCCCUCUGGUCGGGGACAACCACGGGAAACUGUGGCUAAUACCGGAUAAGCCGCAAGGUAAAAGAUUUAUUGCCAGAAGAGGAGCUCGCGUCUGAUUAGCUAGUUGGUGGGGUAAAGGCUUACCAAGGCGGCGAUCAGUAGCUGGUCUGAGAGGAUGAUCAGCCACACUGGGACUGAGACACGGCCCAGACUCCUACGGGAGGCAGCAGUGGGGAAUUUUCCGCAAUGGGCGAAAGCCUGACGGAGCAAUACCGCGUGAGGGAGGAAGGCUCUUGGGUCGUAAACCUCUUUUGUCAGGGAAGAAGCCCUGACGGUACCUGACGAAUCAGCAUCGGCUAACUCCGUGCCAGCAGCCGCGGUAAUACGGAGGAUGCAAGCGUUAUCCGGAAUUAUUGGGCGUAAAGCGUCCGCAGGUGGCAAUUCAAGUCUGCUGUUAAAGACCUGGGCUUAACUCCGGAAAGGCAGUGGAAACUG